AGUAGAAUUGCUAGGUCAUAUGGUAACUGAUUGUUUGAAGAUCUGCCAGACUAUUUUCCAAAGUGAAUGAAUACAUGCUUUAUAUUCCUACCAGCAGU
rnacentral:pre_miRNA from 1 species